UACGGAGGAUCCAAGCGUUAUCCGGAUUUAUUGGGUUUAAAGGGUGCGUAGGCGGAAUAGUAAGUCAGUGGUGAAAGCCCGCAGCUCAACUGCGGAAUUGCCAUUGAUACUGCUAAUCUUGAAUGUAGAUGAAGUGGGCGGAAUGUGUCAUGUAGCGGUGAAAUGCUUAGAUAUGACACAGAACACCGAUUGCGAAGGCAGCUCACUAAACUAAUAUUGACGCUGAGGCACGAAAGCAUGGGGAGCAAAC
rnacentral:rRNA from 1 species